CUCCUCAUCUUCAAAAGUAUCUCAAUGAAGUUGACAACAAUUGUGAUAGAGAGAAUAAAGAAAAGCAACAUGAAGUAAACAUAAGGUGGAGAAAAUAGAAAAAGAGAACGAAAAAAAUCAGAUGUAUAUUAACCUUACGACAAUUAUAUCAGAGUGAGUGUAUAAGUAUGCAUAUAAAGUAUCCUAAUGCACAAAGCUCUUGCCAUCAAAGGAGUAGGAGUAUGUA
rnacentral:lncRNA from 1 species